GGCAGUCAGUGUUUAAAUUAAGCGUCAGGCCUGCCCGGUGAGUUUAGUAAACGGCCGCGGUAUUUUGACCGUGCGAAGGUAGCAUAAUCAAUUGUCUAUUAAUUGUAGACUUGUAUGAAUGGUUAGACAUAUCUUAACUUUCUUACAUGCUUAGCUGAAAUUAUAUUUGUGUUAAAAAUGGCACAGCGAUUGUUUGGGACGAGAAGACCCUAUUGAGCUUUACAGAUGAAUUACUAGUAAGGGUGGGUAAUAGUGGUAUACUUAUUUUGUUUUGCUGGGGCGGCAGACUAUGUAAAACGUAGUUAAUUAUUUGAUUUAAGAUCCACUAUACGUGAAUAGAAGAUUAAGUUACUGUAGGGAUAACAGCGUAAUGGAGUCUGAGAGUUCUUAUUGAUGAUUUGUUUGCGACCUCGAUGUUGAUUUAGGAUUUUCUGAAGAAGAAGAGAGUUUAAUGGGUAGUUUGUUCUACUAUUAAAUUCCUAUG
rnacentral:rRNA from 1 species